rnacentral:rRNA from 1 species
CGGAGGAUGCAAGCGUUAUCCGGAAUUAUUGGGCGUAAAGCGUCCGCAGGUGGCUGUUCAAGUCUGCUGUCAAAGCGCAGAGCUUAACUCUGUACAGGCGGUGGAAACUGAAGAGCUAGAGUAUGGUAGGGGUAGAGGGAAUUCCCGGUGUAGCGGUGAAAUGCGUAGAUAUCGGGAAGAACACCAGUGGCGAAAGCGCUCUACUGGGCCAUAACUGACACUGAGGGACGAAAGCUAGGGGAGCGAAAGGG